UGGCUGAGCGGUAAAGCACUUGGCUUCUGAACUGAAGGGGCCCAGGUUCAAAUCCUGG
rnacentral:tRNA from 1 species